UAUAAUUUAGUGUAAGAAGCACAAAAAUUUUUGAUAUUUUAGAUAUAGUUUAAUUCUAUAAAUUAUAA
rnacentral:tRNA from 1 species